rnacentral:rRNA from 1 species
ACGAACGCUGGCGGCGUGCUUAACACAUGCCAGUCGAACGGUGAAGCGCCUUCCUUUUUGGUGGGUGUGGAUGAGUGGCGAACGGGUGAGUAACACGUGAGUAACCUGCCCCCUUCUUCUGGAUAACCGCAUGAAAGUGUGGCUAAUACGGGAUAUUCUGGGUCUGUCGCAUGAUGGGUCUGGGAAAGAUAUUGUUUCGGUGGGGGAUGGGCUCGCGGCCUAUCAGCUUGUUGGUGGGGUGAUGGCCUACCAAGGCGGUGACGGGUAGCCGGCCUGAGAGGGUGGACGGUCACACUGGGACUGAGACACGGCCCAGACUCCUACGGGAGGCAGCAGUGGGGAAUACUGCACAAUGGGCGCAAGCCUGAUGCAGCGACGCCGCGUGAGGGAUGGAGGCCUUCGGGUUGUGAACCUCUUUCGCCAGUGAAGCAGGCCUGCCUCGUUUGUGGGUGGGUUGACGGUAGCUGGAUAAGAAGCGCCGGCUAACUACGUG